GCCUUCGUGGUGUGAUGGUCAGCACACUGAGCCGGUAAUUCAGAGGUCCGCGGUUCGAUCCCCGGCGAAGGCG
rnacentral:tRNA from 1 species